rnacentral:rRNA from 1 species
GAUGAACGCUAGCUACAGGCUUAACACAUGCAAGUCGAGGGGCAGCAUUUCAGUUUGCUUGCAAACUGGAGAUGGCGACCGGCGCACGGGUGAGUAACACGUAUCCAACCUGCCGAUAACUCGGGGAUAGCCUUUCGAAAGAAAGAUUAAUACCCGAUGGCAUAAUUAGACCGCAUGGUCUUAUUAUUAAAGAAUUUCGGUUAUCGAUGGGGAUGCGUUCCAUUAGGCAGUUGGUGAGGUAACGGCUCACCAAACCUUCGAUGGAUAGGGGUUCUGAGAGGAAGGUCCCCCACAUUGGAACUGAGACACGGUCCAAACUCCUACGGGAGGCAGCAGUGAGGAAUAUUGGUCAAUGGGCGCAGGCCUGAACCAGCCAAGUAGCGUGAAGGAUGACUGCCCUAUGGGUUGUAAACUUCUUUUAUAUGGGAAUAAAGUUUUCCACGUGUGGAAUUUUGUAUGUACCAUAUGAAUAAGGAUCGGCUAACUCCGUGCCAGCAGCCGCGGUAAUACGGAGGAUCCGAGCGUUAUCCGGAUUUAUUGGGUUUAAAGGGAGCGUAGGUGGACAGUUAAGUCAGUUGUGAAAGUUUGCGGCUCAACCGUAAAAUUGCAGUUGAUACUGGCUGUCUUGAGUACAGUAGAGGUGGGCGGAAUUCGUGGUGUAGCGGUGAAAUGCUUAGAUAUCACGAAGAACUCCGUUUGCGAAGGCAGCUCACUGGACUGCAACUGACACUGAUGCUCGAAAGUGUGGGUAUCAAACAGGAUUAGAUACCCUGGUAGUCCACACAGUAAACGAUGAAUACUCGCUGUUUGCGAUAUACAGUAAGCGGCCAAGCGAAAGCAUUAAGUAUUCCACCUGGGGAGUACGCCGGCAACGGUGAAACUCAAAGGAAUUGACGGGGGCCCGCACAAGCGGAGGAACAUGUGGUUUAAUUCGAUGAUACGCGAGGAACCUUACCCGGGCUUAAAUUGCAUUUGAAUAUAUUGGAAACAGUAUAGCCGUAAGGCAAAUGUGAAGGUGCUGCAUGGUUGUCGUCAGCUCGUGCCGUGAGGUGUCGGCUUAAGUGCCAUAACGAGCGCAACCCUUAUCUUUAGUUACUAACAGGUCAUGCUGAGGACUCUAGAGAGACUGCCGUCGUAAGAUGUGAGGAAGGUGGGGAUGACGUCAAAUCAGCACGGCCCUUACGUCCGGGGCUACACACGUGUUACAAUGGGGGGUACAGAAGGCAGCUACCUGGUGACAGGAUGCUAAUCCCAAAAGCCUCUCUCAGUUCGGAUCGAAGUCUGCAACCCGACUUCGUGAAGCUGGAUUCGCUAGUAAUCGCGCAUCAGCCAUGGCGCGGUGAAUACGUUCCCGGGCCU